rnacentral:rRNA from 1 species
UUCGCAAUGCCCGAAAGGGUGACGAAGCGACGCCGCGUGUGGGAAGAAGGCCUUCGGGUUGUAAACCACUGUCGGGAGUUAGGAAAUGUAAGGGUGUUAAUAGUAUCCUUACUUGACUAAGGCUCCGGAGGAAGCCACGGCUAACUCUGUGCCAGCAGCCGCGGUAAUACAGAGGCGGCAAGCGUUGUUCGGAAUUAUUGGGCGUAAAGAGCACGUAGGCGGCUAUGUAAGUCGGUUGUGAAAGCCUUCCGCUCAACGGGAGAACAGCAUCCGAUACUGCAUGGCUUGAGUGCGGGAGGGGAGAGUGGAACUUCUGGUGGAGCGGUGAAAUGCGUAGAUAUCAGAAGGAACGCCGGCGGCGAAAGCGGCUCUCUGGCCCAUAACUGACGCUGAGUGUGCGAAAGCUAGGGGAGCAAACGGGAUUAGAUACCCCGGUAGUCCUAGCCGUAAAC